UGCCCAUCCGAUCUUCAGUUACAACUUUUAAAGAUGAAAUUAAAUCACCAGUUCAUCCGAUACUCAAGCCAAUCACAUCCCCGUCGGAGUUCGUGCGCCGCGUCGGACUUCGAUCUCCAAUCACGGAGAUCUCUUCAACCCUCUUCAAAGCUAUCCACGUACAGAGAGCACAUCAUAUAUGGGGUGAUUUUGUGCAAUCAUUUGAUUUUAUGACAUAUUCCUGGAUCAUUUGAUUUUAGAAAUGCACUCGGGGCACAAUUGAAUAAUCCUAUAUGGGGUGAUUUUGUGCAAUCAUUAUUAGCUGAAGGUUUUCAUAAGCCAAGAACAGGAUGAGAUGCUGGUGAUCAUCCUCCCAUUACUCCCAUGCGAUCAGCAACGGAGGAUAUGGUAGGAAAUGAUGCUUGGAGGCUGUACCAGUAUAUAUGUCAGCAUUUUAUUGGCUCUGUUAGUCCUGACUGCAAAUACAGAAGGACUAAUGUAGAAUUUUACUGUUGGUGAUGAAGUGUUCCGCUGUGUGGGUCAGCUGUCAUAGCUAAAGGGUUUACAUCUAUCAUGCCAUGGUUGGCUGUUAGUGAAAAAAAUCUUCCUCGGUUUACAAAGGGAGAGAGAAUAAACAUUGCGAAAGUUGAGCUAUAUGAGCCCGUAGAAAUGUACGCGAUGCAACACGAGGGAAAGGGGAUAGAGAGAUUGGUGACACAAUUGGGUCAUGCAAUUUCAGUUCCGAUCCCUUCCUCGAGUGGAGCACCGGAGGGGGAGCAUGCGACAUCCCUCGCGAAUGAGAUUGGGAAGGAGAUCCGAUCAUCUGCACUGGUUCGUAAUUGUGGUUGGGACAAUAUUGAUGCUGGGAGUCGAGAGGCGAUCAUUAUGAGAGUUCGGUUAUGACAACGGCAAUUCGUAAUGGAGAUUGGAGUCUGUGAUUGGUGAUUGGAUGAUGUUUCUACCUGUGUAAUGUCUUUGUGGAUGCCUGAGCGUCCUGCUUGUGGGAAGAAGUGAUAGGACAGGAGAUGGUUGAAGCAGAGUACUCGAUGACAAUUAACAUGCAUCAACCUGAGUAAAUGUGGACAAAGUGUCAAGGUUAACUGUGAAUCGAGUACAGCAUGGAUGUGGGACAGUAGAAGCAUAUGUAAGAGUGGAACUUGGAUUUGAGUAUCUUGAAAGCAGAGAGCAACUUGUCAUGACGUUACAAGCAAACUGGAAUAUUUAAACAGUUGUUCCAUUCUUUCUUUUCUUUCACCUUUUCCUCUCGACAAAUUGUGUUUUUUUUUUCCUUUGUGGAUUACAAGCAAACUGGAAUAUUUAAACAGACC